CCGCGGUAAUUCGUAGGGKGCGAGCGUUGUCCGGAACUACUGGGCGUAAAGAGCUCGUAGGCGGUUUGUCMCGUCGUCUGUGAAAUCCUAGGGCUUAACCCUGGACGUGCAGGCGAUACGGGCUGACUUGAGUACUACAGGGGAGACUGGAAUUUCUGGUGUAGCGGUGGAAUGCACAGAUAUCAGGAAGAACACCGAUGGCGAAGGCAGGUCUCUGGGUAGUAACUGACGCUGAGGAGCGAAAGCAUGGGUAGCGAACAGGAUUAGAUACCCUGGUAGUCCAUGCCGUAAACGGUGGGCGCUAGGUGUGGGGUUCCUUCCACGGGCUCCGCGCCGUAGCUAACGCAUUAAGCGCCCCGCCUGGGGAGUACGGCCGCAAGGCUAAAACUCAAAGAAAUUGACGGGGGCCCGCACAAGCGGCGGAGCAUGUGGAUUAAUUCGAUGCAACGCGAAGAACCUUACCUGGGCUUGACAUAUAGAGGAUCGCUACAGAGAUGUGGUUUCCCUUGUGGCUUCUAUACAGGUGGUGCAUGGUUGCCGUCAGCUCGUGUCGUGAGAUGUUGGGUUAAGUCCCGCAACGAGCGCAACCCUUGUCUUAUGUUGCCAGCACGUUAUGGUGGGGACUCGUGAGAGACUGCCGGGGUCAACUCGGAGGAAGGUGGGGAUGACGUCAAAUCAUCAUGCCCCUUAUGUCCAGGGCUUCACACAUGCUACAAUGGCCGGUACAGAGGGCUGCGAUGCCGUGAGGCGGAGCGAAUCUCUUAAAGCCGGUCUCAGUUCGGAUUGGGGUCUGCAACUCGACCCCAUGAAGUCGGAGUCGCUAGUAAUCGCAGAUCAGCAACGCUGCGGUGAAUACGUUCCCGGGCCUUG
rnacentral:rRNA from 1 species